GACGAACGCUGGCGGCGUGCUUAACACAUGCAAGUCGAACGGAAAGGCCCUGCUUUUGUGGGGUGCUCGAGUGGCGAACGGGUGAGUAACACGUGAGUAACCUGCCCUUGACUUUGGGAUAACUUCAGGAAACUGGGGCUAAUACCGGAUAGGAGCUCCUGCUGCAUGGUGGGGGUUGGAAAGUUUCGGCGGUUGGGGAUGGACUCGCGGCUUAUCAGCUUGUUGGUGGGGUAGUGGCUUACCAAGGCUUUGACGGGUAGCCGGCCUGAGAGGGUGACCGGCCAAAUUGGGACUGAGAUACGGCCCAGACUCCUACGGGAGGCAGCAGUGGGGAAUAUUGCACAAUGGGCGGAAGCCUGAUGCAGCAACGACGCGUGCGGGAUGACGGCCUUCGGGUUGUAAACCGCUUUCGCCUGUGACGAAGCGUGAGUGACGGUAAUGGGUAAAGAAGCACCGGCUAACUACGUG
rnacentral:rRNA from 1 species